UACACGACCGUACCGCAAACCGACACUGGUGCGCGAGAUGAGUAUUCUAAGGCGCUUGAGAGAACUCAGGAGAAGGAACUCGGCAAAUUGACACCGUAACCUCGGAAGAAGGUGUGCCUUUAGUAGGUGAACCUGUACAAGGGGAGCCCAAUGAGGUUGCAAAAAAUCGGUGGCUGCGACUGUUUAAUAAAAACACAGCACUCUGCAAACACGAAAGUGGACGUAUAGGGUGUGACGCCUGCCCGGUGCUGGAAGAUUAAAUGAUGGGGUGCAAGCUCUUGAUUGAAGUCCCAGUAAACGGCGGCCGUAACUAUAACGGUCCUAAGGUAGCGAAAUUCCUUGUCGGGUAAGUUCCGACCUGCACGAAUGGCGUAACGAUGGCCACACUGUCUCCUCCUGAGACUCAGCGAAGUUGAAAUGUUUGUGAUGAUGUAAUCUCCCCGCGGAAAGACGGAAAGACCCCAUGAACCUUUACUGUAGCUUUGUAUUGGACUUUGAACAGAUCUGUGUAGGAUAGGUGGGAGGCUUUGAAGUGUGGUCGCUAGAUCGCAUGGAGCCAACGUUGAAAUACCACCCUGGUGUGUUUGAGGUUCUAACCUAGGCCCGUAAUCCGGGUCGGGGACAGUGCAUGGUAGGCAGUUUGACUGGGGCGGUCUCCUCCCAAAGCGUAACGGAGGAGUUCGAAGGUACGCUAGGUACGGUCGGACAUCGUGCUAAUAGUGCAAUGGCAUAAGCGUGCUUAACUGCGAGACUGACAAGUCGAGCAGAUGCGAAAGCAGGACAUAGUGAUCCGGUGGUUCUGUAUGGAAGGGCCAUCGCUCAACGGAUAAAAGGUACUCUGGGAUAACAGGCUGAUACCGCCCAAGAGUUCAUAUCGACGGCGGUGUUUGGCACCUCGAUGUCGGCUCAUCUCAUCCUGGGGCUGUAGCCGGUCCCAAGGGUAUGGCUGUUCGCCAUUUAAAGAGGUACGUGAGCUGGGUUUAAAACGUCGUGAGACAGUUUGGUCCCUAUCUUCCGUGGGCGCUGCAGAUUUGAGGAAGCCUGCUCCUAGUACGAGAGGACCGGAGUGGACACACCUCUGGUGUAUCGGUUGUCACGCCAGUGGCAUUGCCGAGUAGCUAUGUGUGGAAGAGAUAACCGCUGAAAGCAUCUAAGCGGGAAACUCGUUUCAAGAUGAGAUCUGCCGGGGCCUUGAGCCCCCUAAAGAGUCGUUCAAGACCAGGACGUUGAUAGGUCGGGUGUGGAAGCGCAGUAAUGCGUUAAGCUAACCGAUACUAAUUGCUCGUGCGGCUUGACCC
rnacentral:rRNA from 1 species